rnacentral:lncRNA from 1 species
CACAAAACGAAUUUUACUUCUAAAAUUGCAAAGGUAAGUUUUCUCGAAAAUUAAUGUUUUCCAGACAAAACUGUAAAAUCAUAUUUUUAGCCUAAAAUGCAAAAACAUAUUUUCCCAUUAAUACUAUAAAUUCAAGUUUUCUCCCCAAAACCAUAAAAAUAAAAUUUUCAGCCAAAAAAUUGCAAAAAUGAAUUUUCCCAUUAAAUUGUAAAUUCUUAUUUUACUGCCAAAACUGUAAAACAAGUUUUCCACCUAUUAAUAAAUAAAACAAUGGAAAUAUUUUUUUAUAAUUUAAAAAUAAAAACACAAACUGAUCUAAAUUGAAUAUAAAUUUAAAAUAAAAAUAUUGUUUUUAGUUUUCUGUUUGGUUUAAAUAAAAAUAUGAUAAAGACUAUCAUUAUACAUUAAAUAAUAUUAUUCAUAAAUUAUAGUUCACAUUAAAAUAUGGGCAAAUCUACAAAAUAGCUUUCUAAGUUUAUAUCAUAAAAAUAGCACUCAAAAACUAAAAUGACCAAAAUAGCAUUUUAUCUUU